AAGUCGUAACAAGGUUUCCGUAGGUGAACCUGCGGAAGGAUCAUUAACAAAUUCAUCCACACACUGACGUCCCACUCGUGACGUGCCCGCCCGUGUGCCGUCGUCGUCGUCCUCCCCUCCCCUCGCCCCCCUUCUCCGCAAGGAGUGGGGGUGGCGGGAUGUGAGGCACGCACGCACCCAGGCAGGCGAUCCGAUCGAGUGGUGUACUCAACCACACACACACACUUUACAUGAUUGACAACACCUAGUGAUAUCUAGUUAACUGUAGACAACUUUUAACAAUGGAUCUCUUGGCUCUU
rnacentral:misc_RNA from 1 species